rnacentral:lncRNA from 1 species
UUUCAUGAACAUCAAUAAAGCUUUAUAACAAUACAAUUCAUUAUCAUUGUUUGGAUUAAUAUUGUAAUAAUUACACACUUUUUACAUUAUGAAAAUAAGUCAUAAAUAGUGUAAAAAUAAUUCUGAAGAUCAACUUCUCACAAACUAGGAACCCUGAAAACAAAUUUAAAAAGCAAAUAAAAACAAACUGGAAACUGAACACAAUGCAAUUAUCUCCAAACCGCAAAUCAAAAAUCUUAUGCAUCUUUUGAUACAGUAAUGUCAGCUGGAGAAAUUACAAGGAAAUUAAAAUAAAAAUUGAACAGGGAGAAUUCAAUCUUUCAAUUAUUUACACUACUGAGAUAAACAGGUUUGUGCCAUAUUUACAGUGAUAAGACACAACACAUUCUUAGAAUAAUCAAUUGUAUGAGACUGGCCCACAAACAUUUAAAAAAAUAUGCAGUGUAAUGCUUGCCAAAAUAUUUUUUUUUGCAUAUUUCACUUAUUUUGUAUUUAUGUGAGUUUUUGGCAAUAUAAAAAUAGCUGCACAUAGAGAUGAACUUUAAAAUGUAAAAAAUACAAAUAAAAAUAUAAUAUUUUCUAAAGAAAAAUCAGAUACAUACAUCUUUUAAAAUGUUAUUAAGUUGAAUGAAACAUUUACAACAGUAUAAAGAAUAUUCACAUAAAUGUCAACAGUAUGUAAGACAUUCUUUUGUGAAUCCAAUUCGUUAAUAUUUCUGAGAUAGGUAAGAAUAUCAACUACAUUUUGAGAGAUGUUGGUACUUUCUUUGUUAAGUUGUUAAUAAAUCACACAUAACGGUUUAGGUUGAAAAAGUCUUCUUAUGCCCAAAAGGACGGUUCUUUCAAUAAGCAGCAUAGGCAAUUUUAUACAUUUAAAUAUUUUGAAAUGAAAAAAGUCAUUAAAGUGUUUAUUAGUACGGGGUUAGCAAAAACCAAACUCCACUAAAAAUUUAAGUUAGAGGAGUGUCUCUGCUGUGUCAAUUUUAUAUUGGCAACAAAUCUAGCCAAUAUAAAGAUAUCCCAAGAAAAAUGGGAAGAAGUAGGGACUGACAGUCCUCCUAGCCUAAAACAAUUUAGCAUAAUCAUAAUUGGUCAAGCUUGUUAAUUCCACUAGGGAUGUAUGAUUUUAAUAGCCAGAAUCACAUGUGAUUGUUCUUACUUAUUAUUUUUAGAAAGAUAAGAUAGGGUUCCUAAGGACUUAACUUCCAAGAGAUAGCAGGAGCUCUUGUUUUUACAAAUUAGAAAAUCCUAUUUUUUUGUAGUGUGAAAUAUUAAUAUAAUUUGAUUAUUAGGAAGUAAGAAAAAACAAGAUUUCAAAUAUUAGCAUCUGUAUGUUGCUUAUGAUCACUUAUUAGAAGAUGUUAAAACACCACCAAAGUAUAGCCCUACUCUGGGUAAGACAAUAUAUAGUGGGGAAAGAAAGGAUAACAAAUGAUGUUAACUUUUCAUGCUUCAAUAGUAACAUUAAAAAAAAAAACCCUUGGAAAUUAAGCACAUUUCCUAAGUGAGAAAAAUAUAACAUAUCAAAGACAAUUUUUCCAUUGGUACUGACAUGCUGAUUUGACAAUUUUCUAAACUAGCACAUAUGUCUAUAUAGAUAGAUAGUUAGACAAAGGACAUGUAGUAUAAACUAGUUGAUGUAUAUUCUAAUGUCCUCUAUAAAAUCACAUGAGAAAAAAAAAU